rnacentral:lncRNA from 1 species
AUCCAAAUGUGAACUAGCCUCACUGAACACGGAUCUGUCCUAUUUCGAUCCUCUUGAGAGUGGGGCUAAUUCUUGUCCUGCCUCCCUUCCAGGACUGUUGUAAGGGAAGAACUUUGCAAGCCAGAGAAAUGUGAAUUAUUAUUCUGGAACAUCUCCCAGAGGGGUAUGUGGGAACUUGGCUGGCUCUGCCUUGAACUGUAGCCAGAGGCAACAAGAAGGACAGUUCCCUGCCUGGUACUUUGUGUCCUGGAAGAGAAGUUCCAAGAGUGGAUUCAGCAUUUUCUGGGGUCUGUGCUCCAGCAAGAUGAGGAAACUGAGGCUCAGAGGGUUGAAGCAACUCACCCAAGAUCACACAGACAGCAUCAAACAGACUGAAUUUGAACCCAGGGACUCUGAUGCCAAAUGUCUUGUUCAUCCUUGCCUCUGUCAAACCCCUCAUUUUAGAAGAAACUCAGUGGAAAUAUGACUUACUCAAGUUCUUCUAGUAAAUGAGUGGGGUCUGAGAUCACAGAAGAAUGCUGGGACUGAGUCCAAGCUAUCACUUUAUCCAACUGUCCAAGGUUACUCAGAGCCUUGGGGUUCCAACACCUUGGGGUUCUCUGCCUACAGAGCCCAGGCUCUUUGUGUGUAAAUUUAUUCACUAAGGUCUCCCCCUGAAAAAAGAUGAUGCAAACAAAAUGUGCACGUUUGCUCCCAAGUUCCUUUGUAUUAGGAGAAAACCUGGA